GAUGAAGAACGUAGCGAAAUGCGAUACUUGGUGUGAAUUGCAGAAUCCCGUGAACCAUCGAGUCUUUGAACGCAAGUUGCGCCCGAAGCCAUCAGGUUGAGGGCACGUCUGCCUGGGCGUCACGUAUCGUUGCCCAAUGCCUAUUGCAGUGCAAUAGGAAUUUCUAGGGCGAAUGAUGGCUUCCCGUGAGCGUUGUUGCCUCGCGGUUGGUUGAAAAUCGAGUCCUUGGUAGGGUGUGCCAUGGUAGAUGGUGGUCGAGUUAGAACGAUACCGAUCAUGUGCAUGCUCCCCAAAAUAUGGCCUCUAUGACCCACACGCGUCUUUUGACGCUCAUGACGAGACCUCAGGUCAGGCGGGGCUACCCGCUGAAUUUAAGCAUAUCAAUAAGCGGAGGA
rnacentral:misc_RNA from 1 species